CCUACGGGGGGCUGCAGUGGGGAAUAUUGGACAAUGGGGGCAACCCUGAUCCAGCCAUGCCGCGUGUGUGAAGAAGGCCCUCGGGUUGUAAAGCACUUUCAGUGAGGAAGAACGCCUGGUGGUUAAUACCCAUCAGGAAAGACAUCACUCACAGAAGAAGCACCGGCUAACUCCGUGCCAGCAGCCGCGGUAAUACGGAGGGUGCGAGCGUUAAUCGGAAUUACUGGGCGUAAAGCGCGCGUAGGUGGCUUGAUAAGCCGGUUGUGAAAGCCCCGGGCUCAACCUGGGAACGGCAUCCGGAACUGUCAAGCUAGAGGGCAGGAGAGGAAGGUAGAAUUCCCGGUGUAGAGGUGAAAUGCGUAGAGAUCGGGAGGAAUACCAGUGGCGAAGGCGGCCUUCUGGACUGACACUGACACUGAGGUGCGAAAGCGUGGGUAGCAAACAGGAUUAGAUACCCCAGUAGUC
rnacentral:rRNA from 1 species